UUUGUCCAAGUUGGCCACGCGUCCAUCAUCGUCUGAACCUCUACUUCGACUGCAGCUCCUCGAUUUUUCCAUCCGUUUCCAGUUCUCUCUUUCGCAAAUCUCUGCUUCCCUUGCUCUCGACUUGCCUUCUGUCACUCUCAAACGCCGGUUUGUACUCGGCAAAGUCUGUGAAGGACCAAUAUCGGAGUUGGCACAAUACCGAGCGUCAGACCCGUACCCGUCCCCUCCCUCUCCUGUCUCCUUGGGCGAACAGUGUCGCACCUCUGCUCUUCAAAUUUACGGCGCCGUGCGGCCACUGGCGAGGUCGCCACCGACUUGGUUCUCCUCCUCGUCGGCCGGCCUUCAAAGGGCAGGUCACCCGCCACCCAGUUGAGCAGAUCGAAAUCAGGAAGUCUCACACCACCGCCGGUUUCGAGCCCUUUUCCGGACCCUAGGUAUAAAAGUUCUUGUUUCCAUUUUAAAGCUCCGGACCGUUUCACUCUCUUUCCUUCUCUCUACUCCGCACUGUGUGUGAGCAGAUCGUUUUUCAAAUUCUCCCUUUCUUCGAUUCGAUCGUCAAAUGUGCUCUGUUGCGAUCGUCGUCGACUUUCUCUCUCAGUGGAAUCUCUGCUCUUCGCUCUUCCAAGCUCAGUUCGUUUUCUUCCCUUACCUUAUUUAAAGACAAGGCUUCUGCUAUAAUCGAAAUGUCGGAUUGGGACGAUGUUUUUCUUGCGCCUGCUGGUGUCCCUGCUCGUGCUGGUGGCCGAUUUCGACCCAAGGCAAAGCCACGGCCUAGCAGGGUAGCAUCUACAGCAGCCGCCCCUGCUCUUCCGAUUGUCAUAACAGAAAUACAUGUAACAUUAUCUACCACUGUCUCAGAUAGUGUUCCAUCUGUUGAUGUUGGAGACAGUAAACUAACAGAUCAAGUUGGGAGCAUAGAGCCAUCAGAAAACAAUGAGAUUCCAUUGUCUGAUGGCAAGAAGGUCACUGGACCUUGCGAAUCAACUGCAGACGUUGCAGGUUCUGAUGGAAAAGCAUCGGGGGAGAAUGCAGACAUAUUCUCUGGAUUGGAAUGUCUUGAUGAUUCUAUCAGUCAAACGACAAGGGGUACAGCAGAGUUUGCUGUCAAUAAGUCUGGUGAUAAGGCUAAUACGGGUACCAAACCAGAAGCUGAAACUGGUUCUGAUUAUUGUACAACCCAAGAUCCAAUGUCCUGCAGAGAAGUUUCCGUUUCUAACAAACAGGGUGAAAUAGAACCUGAGUGUCAGGUAGAUGGGGCUUUCUCUGACUUUGAAGUUCUAGAUGUUGGGUCUGAUGUCGCCAUUUCAUCCGAACGACAUGCUGGCAAACAUCAACCCAAGCUCAAAGUGAAAAAAGGAAAGGAGAAUAUUCAUAUCCCUUGCUCUGAAGUUGAGCCUAACAUGGGUUCACAAGCUGGACAUUUGGUACAUUUUGAAACUGGUGACAUGAAUGAGAGCUCGCUUCCUGCCUUCCCUACUAGACAUGUCAUUGAUCACCCGUCUCCAAGGCUUGGUGAUUCUAGUACCCUGAAUCCAACCCCUGAUUCCCAAGUGAAUACAGAAAACCUGGCUGAAACUAACCACUCGGAUGGUGCCAUUUUGGGGGAUGCUGUGCAUUCAGAAGAUGUUGGUGGAACACCUGAAAAAGUGGGUCGUAAGAGUAGAAAUAGAAACACUUCUACUACAUCAGAUCUUCCUCAGAAGCGCAAAUCUUCUGCAAUCGAGAAGGCUGAAGGUGAGACAUCAUCCAGGCAGCUGAGGAAGCGGGUACCUCAUAAACAAGUUGAUGAGCUGGCAGACGAGGCUAAUGAUGACAGCUUCACUGCUGAACCUUCUAGUGAUUCUAAGAUCAAUGAAGAUGAGGAUAAUAUUGAUGAAUAUAGGGAGCAUGAGACAUCGCAGAGGAAAAGAGCCCCCAGAAAGUCCAAGAAACCAGUAUCUGAAAAAGAACCAGUUCGAAAGCGUAAGAAGACCAAGGAAGCAUCUGAUCAGUCAACCAAAGACGCUUCCAAAAAGUUCUCCCAUUCAACUCGUAGAAACAGAAGACAAGUGGACAAGUCUUUGCUUGAAAUCCCAGAGGAGGAAUUUGACCCCUAUAAAUUAUCUCUCAAGGAUCUCAUUCGUCUAGCAGAGCAUAAGGAGCUGUUAAAGAUUAAGGAGGCAAGAAAAUUGACAACUCGACAGCCCAAUGAAAGUACGAACAGUGAUUCUCACAAGGAAGGUUCUCACAAUGAAGAGUUCUAUCCUUCAGAACAUGGCACUGAUGAAAACCAAGCAACUUAUCAUGUUAAUUCCUCUCUCCUCAAUUACCAAACUUACAUGGACAAAGCACCCACUGCAAGAUGGUCUAAGCAGGACACAGAACUGUUCUAUGAGGUCAAACAAAAUCUGCCCUUCACAUGUGAUUUAGGCUAUUCAGCAGUGUGGAUCAGAUUUUACUAUGAUUCAAGAACUUUAUUUUCCUGGUCGAACGCGUCAUCAAGUCAAGUUAAAAUUCAAGAAGGAAGAGCGUCAACAUCCAUUACGCAUCUCAGAAGCCGUACUAAGUCGCUCGACUCAUUCCACAGAUCAUUCGCAAUUUACUUCAUAUAUUGAGAAGCUGCAACAAGCUGCUCAGGCAAACAAGGAAUCUAAUGCAGAUGAGUCAGUUGACAUGACAAGCAAGGAGGAAGGACUAAGAGAGCAGACUCGGGAUACCGAUGAGCGAAUGGAGAAACCCGAGUCGGAAGAAGUUCAAGAUCAGGAAGCUGAUGUUGCUGAAGUUCAAGAUCAAGAAGCUGUUGCUGCUGAAGUUAGCAAUCCCUUGAAGUCCGAUGAAAUUGAUGAAGAAGAUUUUACAUGGUCUGACUGACAAGUGAGGAGUUUUACUUUUCCCUCCCUUAUUUUUUCUCUAGCCAUUGAUGUGUCACUUCCAACGAGAAGAUAAUGUCCUAACAAAAUUUAAGGAUAUUCAAAACUUCUUGUUGAGAGUGGACCAUGGAGCGUGUGGAGAUAAAAACGAAUACAUUAUAUCAAGAAGCCAACGUAGUUGCAGCUCAAGUUCAACUGGCAAGAAUGGGAUAUCAGAUACCUCAUCCCCCAAAAUCUGGGCACAAAAAUAAUGUUGCAACAAAUUUUUGUAUGUAAGUUUGUAACAUUGGUUUCGUUAUUUAAAUAUUGAUUGCUCUCGUAUCUAAUUUUCGUUCUCCUAAAGAUUUUUGUGAACAAGUAUUAUAAUUAGGCCUGUUAACAGUGUAAUGAAUAUUUAUGCUUAGAACUGUCUGUACAAAUUCAUGCCCAAACCCACAAGAAUACUACACUUUACUGUAUCAUCCGAUUUGUAUGUUGCUUCAUCCGUUAAAUGAUAGCCUGACAAACGUGGGUCUCGUUGUUAAGA